ACAUUGAAAUUCCUUUCUCCAAAGACAGAGCGCUGGACAGAAUGGUGCACAGAAUCCUCCUACAAUACCAACAAAAAGGACAAUAAGGAUCCUAUCUAACACACAGUCAGCUGGAUACUGACAGUUCAAAAACAAAAAAAAGUGUGAAGUGACAUAAACCAAGAACAGCUGCAUGCUCUGAACCUUCAGCCAACAGUCAAGUACAAGUGACUUGACCCUUGCAGGAUUCCCAUGGGCAGAGGAAAAAUGUAGCAGUGAAGACAGACAUGACUAACAAUGCUGAGAGUUUUGCCAGACUUCAAGCAAUACUACUGGAAUUUACUUCAGUCUUCAAACAGAGAUACAUCACAGAACUUCUCAGA